rnacentral:sRNA from 1 species
GAAUGGUGGUUCGAAAUGUGUCCAAGAAGCUGAGAAAUCACGUGGUGUCAAUCUGUCUCAUUGCGACUCAUUGCGAGAAAAUGCGGAAAAAAUUUUCAAAAAAUCGUGACGUCACAGAGGCGAGAGUUCAUUAGAGCAGCUUUGCUGCAUGAAAUUUAGGUACCGAUUUUGCAAUAUUUUUCUGCUUUUUAUCGCAUUUUUAAUAGUUUUCAGAUGAUUUUUUCGAAUUUAAUUGCAUCAUUAUGUUUAAAUCGUAUUUUACUUCAUAAAAUCGACCCAAUUUUUCGUUUUUUUUCGCUUAAUUUUCAGAAUUAUCGAGAGGAAACGGAUUUUUGGGCGAAUGAAGCCGUUUCAUAUAUGUUUUCGAUGAAAACGAUAAUGUUAAUAAGCUUUACAUGUACUUUUCGGUUUUAUACUUUCUUUAUCCGUCUUUUCCUUAUCUGAGCAACGUUUUUUUCAGGGUUUUGUCCUUUUCCGGGCCGCAGUGAGCACGAACACAUUGGAGAGUUCGAGAUCGUCCAGAGAGAGUGAGAAUUUCAAGUAGCUCUCACAGGUUUGUGUUGAAAUCGAAUUGCAAAGUGAAAAGUACAAAUUUUGCAGGCCACACAAUGCAUGGAAGCCCGAGAAUCACACCAAUCACAACCGGAACAACAAGGCUCACCGUAAUGGGAUCACGAAGCCGAAGAAGCACAUCUUCCUCUCCAUAGAAGGAAGUCGACGCCAAGUUCAUCAAGAACCUCCGUUUCGAGGUUAGAUAUAGAUCCGGCGAUCUUUCUUUAUUAUCAUUGUGAUAAGAUAAGACAUGCAAUUUCGAUUCCUCACGAGUACAACAAAAAAAUUAAUGUCGGGGUUUCAUGAUUUGCUUUUUUAUAAAUUUGUAUUAGAACAAAUAUUUUCAGAUUGAGCGACGUCGGCGAGCUGGACAUUGUUGAUGCGUAUUUGGGAUUGUUCGCAAUAAAUUGGCAAGAGGAGAAAGUUGUGAAAAUCCUCGGAGCUGGAGAACUGCCUGCAAACAACAAAAAUGCUGCUCCAAUCAAAUAUUUGAAUGAUUUGGAUAUUCUUCUCGAUGGAAGAAUCAUUUUCGCCGAAUCAUCAACAAAAUUCGAUGAUCGUGAUUCCAUUCUGGAUCUCUUCGAGCAUCGUCCAAAUGGUCGUCUUUUAAUUUAUGAUCCAAGAAAGAAAGAUUUGAGAGUGCUAAAAUAGUACUAAAAGCGAAGGAAGCACAUCUUCCUCUCUCUCUCUGUCGACGUCAAGUUCAUCAAGAGCCUCCGUUUCUUCAGAAAGAACAACAAACGUCAGAUCAACAAGCCCGUCGAGUCACUACGUAAGUUUCGAAACAAGGGUUUUCACCCUGAAAAUUUGAAAUGCUAAAUUUAAAAGUAUUUUCUUAAAAAGCAAAACAUGUUUUGUUGGGAAAAAACAAAUACUGAAUGCAAAAAUGAAAUAAAUCACGCAAAAAAUUAUAUAACAAGGUCAAGCAACAUAACAAAUAACAAUUAUCAAUUUCUGAGAAGUAACCGGACCGGAAACAAUUGGAAAGUCAACGGAACGCAGAGAAAUGGUUAGUGAAACAAGAAAAACGACAUCGAACUAACUUAAUUACGAAUGUAGUCGCAUGUGGCAUAAACGUAACAUUUAAUGAAAAUCAUUUUAAAGCAAUAUGUUGCCCGCGUAGAUAACUUUGCAGAAGUUCGGAUUUGAGCAUUGAGUUUGUUGUACCACGAGUGAAGAGACUCGAUACCCUGCUCACUAGUCAACGCCCAGGUCUUUUUUGCGUUUACGAACGGCAUCACGUGCUCCAAGAGCACAUGAAGCUUUGGAGUGACGACGUCAUCAGGAGCGUAGCUUUUUAGGGCUUCCCAAAGGUCAUUCUGAAAUAUAGUUUAUUUAUAUUUAUAAAGAAGCUAGUGUAGUUUACGAUGUGUUGAUCCAUUAGUUUAAUUUCAUCAUCACUCAGUGUUCGGGCAACGCAUAGUUUUUGCAAUUUGCCAAGUGAAAUGAGAAAAGUCGCGAUGCCGUCACGAUCUGAACCAGCAGGAAAAAUGCCUAGAUAGUCGAGGACCGCAGCUUCUUCCAAUAAUUUUAGCGUGUGAUUUCCUGUGAAAUUCUGCUGCCAGGCAGACAUAUCAGCACCAUGGCGUUUCCAAAUUUCCUCAAGCCGCUUUCUCGUUUUGUUCUGCCCCCCCCCCCCCGCGGUUUGGAUGAGACUAUCGUAUUCUGCUUGAGCUAAUCUGUAAAUUGAAAUGCUUUCUUUAAAGAAAAUAUAAAUACUCCAACCUCAAAUCUUCCAUCAAUUUAUUCUUCUCAUUUUCCAGAUGUGCAAUGGUGGAUUCAGCUUCCAUCUCGAUGCGAUUCACCGUCAUGGAUCGACACUCGAAGCAAUCCACGUCAGGAGAAUCUUCAGUGGUAAGCUUCCAACUUUCAGGGUCCCACAGCCCACAGCAUACGCCGUGUACAGACUUGGAACAAGUCUGACAGUCCACUUUGCGCCCAUCGUAUGAAGUUGCCAGUUUCAUAGUCUUGUCCUUGAACAAGCACAUCGCUGCUCUACACGGCUCGGCUGGUGACUUGUACCCGUUGACUUGACGAUCCUUGAAAUUUUGAACAACCUGAAGAGCACAUUUUGUUCCUGAAAGAAAUUCUUCCAGCUCCUCCAGUUUUUCAGCUCUAUCAUUGACUACUGCCUUCGAGAUCCUGGUUUUCUUGAUGUCACCCCUUUUUAAUUGCAUGGAGGGGUUAUCCAACCUUGCAGCCCAAAGAAUCAGGUAGUCAAACGCGAAUCUCUGGGCUACUCCCAUGAUGAUAUGCAAGGAUGGAGGAAUCACGUUGAACAAACUGAUGAGAUCGAACAAGAAGCUGGAAUUCUGUACAACGUUUCUUCUUGCGACAUGAUGUGAUGGCUUGGACGGUUUGGAGCUAUCUCUCUUGUAGUCAUCCGGAGUUCUGAGCUCAAUGUUGUAUCUGCGAAGGUACCUGCUGAUCGACUGCCCUCGUAGCGAAAAGCACUGCAUGCACUGAUAGGUACUGUUUCCUCCCUCAUGACCAAUAGCAUCGCAUUGGAACUUCAUAUCUCCCCCAAGAUACUGCUCCACAGGUACAUCAAUGUCCUUAUCGCCUACUUUUAUCUUUAGGAAUAAUAAUCGAUUGAGUUGUUCAACGAUGGGACCUAGAUACUUUCGAAUGUUUUCACUGCUUUCGUCAUCAUUGAAAAUGCCAAGUGGAAUUAGAUGGAAACAGCUGUUAGGUUGGGAGACAUUUCCAAUUGACAAACAUAACUUGAAUUCUUCUGAUCCUUUAUCGCCGAGGAUCGUAAGCCAAAUAGGAUCGUCUCCAACUACCAUCUUUCCAUUAGCAACUAAUUCAUUAAUCCUUUCAGUUAACAUUUUGACGACGUCGAGCAGAUGAACGGCGACCACGGAUUUACCGUCAACGGUAUGCUCGGUGACCUUGAAUUGAUCCGAGGAGCCAACAACUUUCUCCAGCUUUUUGAUCUCAUGAAUAGAUGGCAAUGGAUCGAUACAUCCACUUCCUCGCAGCAUUUGUUUCAACUUGGUGAAUCGUCUUCUCGUGAGGUUGCUGGCGUGAUAGAGAUAUAAUCCUUCCCUCUUUGACAUCUUCCAUUUCAGAAGACCCAACUUACUCAAUCUUCCAAGAAGAAGGCGGUAAAAUUCAGAAGAUUCGCCGCCUAAAAUCACUUUAAAUAACUGUAUUUGUAGGUAUUUCUCACCACAUCGCUGAAGUUCAGCUCUCGCUAUCUCUAUUCUCCUAAACUUCUCGCUCCUGCUGAUGAGAUUUUUGAAUUCAGUUUUGAAAGGUGGCCGUUUCCCUGCUUUCAGGUCCCGAAUCAUCUUAACAUCUUCGACUUUUUCCACAUCUGCCAUUCGUAAUUCAUCAUUUUUUCCUGAAAGUUGCCGAUCUAAUUCCCUUUUUGCAGUUUCCAAACGACGGUUUUCAGUUUCCAAAACUCCUUUCUCCCGUUUCAACUGCGUCCAACUCUGUUUCAUCGUUUUCAGUUCUUCUUGUACAGCCUAAAAUAUUAUCUAUUUCAGCAAUUUCUUAUCUCUAUUAUAUACCUUGUACUUAUCAUUCAACUUUCCCAACUUCUCAGAGUGCUCUCCAUUAAGCUUAUCCCUAAUUUUUUUCAGCUUUAUUUCAGCAUCUUCUUUCAAAAGUUUUGCAUCGCUCACGUCCCUUGUCAGCUUCUCAUUGUCUUGCAAGGCACGUUUCAGGUCGGAUGAUAAGGAUACACCAAGAGGCGUCGUCAUCCUAAGCGGCGUAGACAUGGCUUCCUGUUAAAAAAUGUCACUUUGCCCAGAAAAUUUUUGCAUAGAUUCCUUGGAGGGGUCCUACCCUUUUUAAAGCACAACAAUAUUUAAUAACAUUUAUUAUAGUAUAAACAAUUUAACUUUUCAGGAUGACGAGGAUGGUCGGUAUAGAUCGAUGGCGAGGAUGGUCGGGAUGCAUCAAUGACGAGGAUGGUCGGGAUUGACGGCUCGCGACAGGACCGGUACCUUCGAAUCAAUUACUAUUUUUUUUCAGGUCAUUUUUUAUUUAUUGUAGACCAAUUUCGAAAAUUAAACCCCGUAGGGCAUUUUAUUCUUCCAGAUUCGUCGGCCCUCCGAGCAGCUCCAACAGCAACAACAACGGCUCCAACCUCCCCAACCGCUUCAACAGUAACGACGAAGAAACGAAUAAUCUAUAAAUGUAUUGUAAUCAUUCUGUCCCUUUAUCUCCAAAAAAUUCCAGUUUUGAAGGCAUACGACACGUUUUGUGAAGUUCUCGGUGACGAUUUCAUGGAAUAUCGGGAAUUUGACUUCUGGUACUAUAAAAUUGGAAAUGGAGAUGCUAAUUUGACCUGUAAAAUGAGGUUUUUCAAUUUUAAAGUGAUUAUUUCCAUAUAAUAACUUUCAGCUACAACCCAAAAAGUCCGAUUUUCACCGAUUUUCCCGACACGGUUGUCCAUACAGUUUUGGAAAAGCUAUUGCCAGCGGAAAG